UACGUAGGGCGCAAGCGUUUAUCCGGAAUUAUUGGGCGUAAAGAGCUCGUAGGCGGUUUGUCGCGUCUGCCGUGAAAGUCCAGGGCUCAACCCUGGGAUGCCGGUGGAUACUGUCGGGCUCGAGUCCGGAAGAGGAGUGUGGAAUUCCUGGUGUAGCGGUGAAAUGCGCAGAUAUCAGGAGGAACACCGGUGGCGAAGGCGGGUCUCUGGGCCGUAACUGACGCUGAGGAGCGAAAGCAUGGGGAGCGAACAGG
rnacentral:rRNA from 1 species